rnacentral:ncRNA from 1 species
CGGGUGCCCCGCGCGUCGGGGUGAAAAGGGAAAGCGGUUAAAAUCCGCUGCAGCCCCCGCUACUGUGAGGCGGACGAGGGCGGCGACCACCGGCUGAAGCUGGGAAGGGCCGUCCAAGGAUGAGGCCGAGCCAGGAGACCUGCCCGCAUGGC